CACUCCUACGGGAGGCAGCAGUGGGGAAUAUUGGACAAUGGGCGCAAGCCUGAUCCAGCCAUGCCGCGUGAGUGAUGAAGGCCCUAGGGUUGUAAAGCUCUUUCACCGGUGAAGAUAAUGACGGUAACCGGAGAAGAAGCCCCGGCUAACUUCGUGCCAGCAGCCGCGGUAAUACGAAGGGGGCUAGCGUUGUUCGGAUUUACUGGGCGUAAAGCGCACGUAGGCGGACUAUUAGGUCAGGGGUGAAAUCCCGGGGCUCAACCCCGGAACUGCCUUUGAUACUGGUAGUAUUGAGUUCGAGAGAGGUGAGUGGAAUUCCGAGUGUAGAUGUGAAAUUCGUAGAUAUUCGGAGGAACACCAGUGGCGAAGGCGGCUCACUGGCUCGAUACUGACGCUGAGGUGCGAAAGCGUGGGGAGCAAACAGGAUUAGAAACCCCAGUAGUCCCAUGA
rnacentral:rRNA from 1 species